rnacentral:tRNA from 1 species
GCCUCCGUAACUCAACUUGGACUAGAGUGCUUCCGUCCUAAGGAAGAAGUUGUGGGUUCAAAUCCCAUCGGGGGCA